rnacentral:rRNA from 1 species
AACGUAGGAGACAAACGUUAUCCGGAGUUACUGGGCGUAAAGGGCGUGUAGGUGGUUACGUAAGUCUGGCGUGAAAUUUCUCGGCUUAACCGAGGCAGGUCGUCGGAUACUGCGAGACUAGAGGACGGUAGAGGCGUGUGGAAUUCCGGGUGUAGUGGUGAAAUGCGUAGAGAUCCGGAGGAACACCAGUGGCGAAGGCGACACGCUGGGCCGUACCUGACACUGAGGCGCGAUAGCAUGGGGAGCAAACAGGG